rnacentral:rRNA from 1 species
UACGUAGGUGGCAAGCGUUAUCCGGAAUUAUUGGGCGUAAAGCGCGCGCAGGCGGUCGUUCAAGUCGAGUGUGAAAGCCCCCGGCUCAACUGGGGAGGGUCACUCGAUACUGAUCGACUUGAAGGCAGGAGAGGGAAGCGGAAUUCCCGGUGUAGUGGUGAAAUGCGCAGAUAUCAGGAGGAACACCUGCGGUGUAGACGGCUUUCUGGACCAUUGCUGACGCUGAGACACGAAAGCGUGGGUAGCAAACAGG